GGGGAUGUAGCUCAGUGGUAGAGCACUUGCCUAGAACGCAGAAAGCCUGGGUUCAAUUGCCAGCACUGCAA
rnacentral:tRNA from 1 species